UAUAAAUUUGUCACUUGUCACUUGUCAGAAAAGUCGAGACUGUUUUGUAGGUAAACUUGAACUCGAUUUCAGCUCUAUUGUAGUUUAAUUCUGGAUAUUCGUUUCUAGAUUGCAAUAUAUGGUAUAACCGAAAAUGUCUCUUAAUACAGCUCAUGCUGAUCAUGGAGUAUUGAUACACGCUGGAGAGUGCAUCAUACUGUUUUCCGAUAAUGUCACUGUAGAGUUUUAUGGAAAUGAUACGGCCGAGUUUAAAGGAGCAAAAAAUGGUCGCAUGUAUCUCACCACCCAUAGGAUGAUUUAUAACUCUAAAAAGAACACAGAUACACUACGGUCAUUCAGUUUCCCGUUUGUGGCUUUGCAAGAUGUAACUGUUGAACAACCAAUGUUUGGUGCAAACUUUAUCAAAGGAAAAAUUCAUGCACAGCCAAAUGGAAAUUUCAUAGGAGAAGUGAAGUUUAAACUUACAUUCAAAUCAGGAGGUGCAAUUGAAUUUGGACAAGCUAUGUUGAAGGCUGCCCACCUUGCAUCCCGCCACAUGACUCCCAAUGCUCCGCCGCCAGCAUACACGCCGCCAAGCGGGCCAUGGUACGCGGCCCCACCACCAGCCUACGCGCCCCCACCACAAGGCUACUAUGGUUGGGUCCCUCCAUACUCUGCGUUCCCCGACCAGCCGGCGCCGAACUCGGUGUUCGUGUCGAACAGUCCACCACCAUACCCGGGCGUGAUGGGCGCCGCGUACCCGCCGGGCGCGGGCUUCUCAGGUGCAGGUGGGAACAGCGCAGGCUACCCGAACGCGCCCCCGGGCUACCCGGGCAACGCUAACUCGCCUCCCGGUUAUCCGGGCAACGCGAACCCACCACCCGCCGGGUUUGCGGGCGGCUUCGUGCCCCCGCCCGGGAUGUCGGCUAGUGGUCUAUAUGUGUAUUACCCUUUGUGGUGUUUUAUGUGAUGCGAAAGCCGCGGAAGCUGCACAAAGUGCAUACUACGAUCCUAAUAAGCCGCAGACUGCAUAUGUGCCACCACCUUACAAUGAUCAGCCACCGACGUAUCAGGA
rnacentral:misc_RNA from 1 species